GACGAACGCUGGCGGCGUGCUUAACACAUGCCAGUCGAACGGUAAGGCUCCAGCUUGCUGGGGUACACGAGUGGCGAACGGGUGAGUAACACGUGGGUGACCUGCCCUGCACUUCGGGAUAAGCCUGGGAAACUGGGUCUAAUACCGGAUAGGACCAUGGUGUGGAUACUGUGGUGGAAAGUUUUUUCGGUGUGGGAUGGGCCCGCGGCCUAUCAGCUUGUUGGUGGGGUAAUGGCCUACCAAGGCGGCGACGGGUAGCCGGCCUGAGAGGGUGGACGGCCACAUUGGGACUGAGACAGGGCCCAGACUCCUACGGGAGGAAGCAGUGGGGAAUAUUGCACAAUGGGCGGAAGCAUGAUGCAGCGACGCCGCGUGGGGGAUGACGGCCUUCGGGUUGUAAACUCCUUUCACCAUAGACGAAGGGUUUCUGACGGUAGAUGGAGAAGAAGCAACGGCUAACUACGUG
rnacentral:rRNA from 1 species